rnacentral:rRNA from 1 species
UAGGGAAUCUUCGGCAAUGGACGGAAGUCUGACCGAGCAACGCCGCGUGAGUGAAGAAGGUUUUCGGAUCGUAAAGCUCUGUUGUUAGAGAAGAACGUUGGUAGGAGUGGAAAAUCUACCAAGUGACGGUAACUAACCAGAAAGGGACGGCUAACUACGUGCCAGCAGCCGCGGUAAUACGUAGGUCCCGGGCGUUGUCCGGAUUUAUUGGGCGUAAAGCGAGCGCAGGCGGUUCUUUAAGUCUGAAGUUAAAGGCAGUGGCUUAACCAUUGUACGCUUCGGAAACUGGAGGACUUGAGUGCAGAAGGGGAGAGUGGAAUUCCAUGUGUAGCGGUGAAAUGCGUAGAUAUAUGGAGGAACACCGGUGGCGAAAGCGGCUCUCUGGUCUGUAACUGACGCUGAGGCUCGAAAGCGUGGGGAGCAAACAGG